rnacentral:lncRNA from 1 species
AGGGGUGGAGCAGGCACUGUCUUCCAUCCACUCCUCCGCUGUGUUUGGAGCCCUUUGGUUUAAGGGUGGAGAGAGAAGCCAGCAGCUGUUUGCCUCAGUGACGUUUUAAGACUCUGUGUUCUAAAGGAGCUACUUCAGCCCCGUAAGAAAAUAUGGCUCAGGCUUGGUUAGAAGCUCCUGGAAGAGUAAAAAGUGAGAGGUCAGCCCUGCGUCACCAUGGCAACCCACACAGCUCGGGCCAGGAGCAGAUGAACGGAGGUGAUAAUCGGGGGGAAGUUUCUCCCUCUUCCUUACAUGGCAUUUUCUUCCCAUUCAGGGAUGUGCCUGGCUGUAUGAAAACAAUUAUGUCUUUUUGGAAAUAUAAGUUUUAA